rnacentral:rRNA from 1 species
CGUUGAAUACGUUCCCGGGUCUUGUACACACCGCCCGUCAAGUCACCUGAAUUGUCUUCACCCGAAGUCCGUGGCCCAACCGUAAGGAGGGAGCGGCCGAAGGUGAGGGGGGUAAGGGGGACUAAGUCGUAACAAGGUACCC